UCCGGCGACCAUAGCGUAGGGGAAACACCUCUUCCCAUUCCGAACAGAGCAGUUAAGCCCUAUUGCGCCGAUGGUACUGCACCCGCUAACGGUGUGGGAGAGUAGGUAGCCGCCGGGA
rnacentral:rRNA from 1 species